GAUGAACGCUAGCGGGAGGCUUAACACAUGCAAGUCGUGGGGCAGCAUUAGGUAGCAAUACUUAGAUGGCGACCGGCGCACGGGUGAGUAACGCGUAUGCAACCUACCCAGUACAGGGGGAUAGCCCGGAGAAAUUCGGAUUAAUACCCCAUAAUGAUAUAGAGAGGCAUCUUUUUAUAUUUAAAGCUUCGGCGGUACUGGAUGGGCAUGCGUAAGAUUAGCUAGUUGGUAGGGUAACGGCCUACCAAGGCUCCGAUCUUUAGGGGUCCUGAGAGGGUGACCCCCCACACUGGUACUGAGACACGGACCAGACUCCUACGGGAGGCAGCAGUGAGGAAUAUUGGUCAAUGGGCGCAAGCCUGAACCAGCCAUCCCGCGUGAAGGAAGAAGGCGCUAUGCGUUGUAAACUUCUUUUCCGGAGGAAUAAAAUCUUGUACGCGUACAGGACUGAAGGUACUCCGGGAAUAAGCAUCGGCUAACUCCGUGCCAGCAGCCGCAGUAAAAC
rnacentral:rRNA from 1 species